UAGCUCAGUCAGUAAAGAGUCUGCCUGCAAUGCAGGAGACCCAGGUUCCAUUCCUGG
rnacentral:tRNA from 1 species